rnacentral:lncRNA from 1 species
GUAGUCAGUGCAUUAUUAAUAUUCUGCAGAAUGGCUAUGAUUUUGAGUACUGUAUUGGUUUAAGGGUAAAGGCCACCCAGGGGGGUGGACUUCUAUUCAUUUGUUGUUCCCUAAUGGUACAAUUUUUCUAACCUGCCAACGCAACAUUCCUAUCCAAACUCAAAAACUUAGAUGGAUGUCAAAUUUUUAAGUGAAUGCCCCAUCCAAACAAUGCUUCCAAUGUUUUCAUAAAACUCUCUUUGGUCAUAGCUAAUUAGCAACUUAACAUUUUACCGUCAGUCACGUGUUACAGUAUACUAGGAAACAAGGUUAGGAAUACCCUAUAAACCCAACUCGUAACACAUCACUAAGCCUAAUAAUCUAAGAUGACUAAAAUGGUCAGAUUUUAUUUUUCACCUUCUGAUAUUUAGGUGCACUUUUGGAGAAAUUGACGCUUGUCACCAAAUAAGAUUGUGGUAGCAGCUUUGGAAGUUUGUGCGGCUGGUUGUACCUCCAUAAGCACCCAAGCAGCUGCAUACGCAAGCUACAAUAUAUAAACAGAAUUAGAAACCAGCUAGUACUGCAAGGCUUUUUAUGGCUACACAAAUUAGAAGAAAAAUUGGUCUAGAACUCAGAACGAAUUAAAUUGAAGCUUCCUUUGUUCAGCACUCACUAGAAGUUCAGUGUUGCAUUUUCUGAAAUUUAUUUCCUCUGGUCUGCAUUGGCAUCAUUCAAGUUAUUCAUCUCUUAACUCCUCAUUGCUGUCAACCAAAGAGACCUACAUCCACUGCUAACAAAGCCAGCCAAAGGGGUAUGCAUUCACUGUUUAUGCCAGUUGUGAUAUGGUUGCUUCCCCCAUUUCUUCAGACUAUGCAUGCAACCAGCUGCUAGCAAUAAACCAAGCACAGCAAAUGCCAUUAAUGUUGCAUUACUAACAUUCCGGUAAUAGCCACCCUGCAACAACAUUUAGGAAGUUAAUAUGUUUACAACAGCACACAAACCAACUAAACCAAAAGAAACACACAACUAAAAAAAUUGAAAAUUAUUUUUAGACAGAAGUUAAAGCGUCUAGUAUAUAAAAUUGCAAAAAAAACAUGCAAAAUUAUAUUGCAUAUUAUAUUCCUAGAAUUUAACCCUUCCCUUAGAGUCACAUGAGCCAGCGAUGUCACCCUAUAUAGCUAACCAACUAUAGGGACAAGUUGAGGUCAUCAACAAGUUAUCACAUAAUCAAAAAGUUGGUCUAUUUUCAAAGUGCCAGCCAGCUUGAAUGAUCAUUUCAUAGACGAAAGUCAUGUUUGAGACUAGCUGGAAGGCCCAAUAAGAGUAAAACCAGCACUUGUUUCUGCUGCUUUAAGAAAGACCGUGGAGGGAUAGGAAGAAACAAGAGCAGGGCCACUCUUGAAUAUCAACUUCUCAUGCCACCCUCCACGAUUAUGGCAUUCUAACUUAAAACCUCAAAAUAUUUAUCUUUCAUCUAGGGUGAACCUCGACGUAAUGGCAAAGUUGUUGCUUAAUAACCAAGAAGUCACGAGUUCAAAUCCUCGAAAACAACUUCUCUGCUUGUGGCCACAGGAGUAAGGAUACGUAUAUCUACUCUCCUCACACCCCACUAGGUGGGAACCUCGUGCACUGGGCAUCCCUUUUAUGGUUCAGAUCAACUCAUGUUAAUAUUGUUUAACUGGUUAGUUGGUUAAUUAUAUGCUUCCUACAAUUUCAGAUAACUUAAUGAACAAAUACACACUUGCACCACAGAAAGCAGAACUGCUGCAUUUGCCGGGGCCAAAGAAAGCCCCAUCAUCCCUCCACGCAACUCAUUAGGCACAUACCUGCAGACAAUGUAAUUAGAACUAUCAAAUCAUUUGUUAAGAAAAUGAACAACUACAAAUCCUGUUAAUGAGUUUACAUGGUCCUCAAUCUGGCAAGUGAUGGUAUAAUGAACCCGACACAAGCAUGAAACAAGCAAAAUAGUGUCACCAGAACUCCAAUUUCCUGUAUGUGAUAAAUUAUCAAAGCAGACUCUAGGUUUCAAGCUUGAUAAUAUGACAAAGUAUAUUUCACUAUUUGAGACUUUUUAAAGAUGAAAGAUAAGUGAACCUGAUAGUCAUAGGCCACAAUAGAGAGGAGAAGAGCUAGUAUGAUGUAUGCAUAUACUAGGCAAUCCUCUGUUCUAAAUGAUGAUGGCCCACUUGUAAGACAAGGAAAUGCAGUGCUUCCAAGCAUCCUUGAGCCCAGAAAGCAAGGAUAUAUCAAUCCUAAUUGCACUUCUCGACCAUCAGCCUACAACCACAUGCAUCAAAAAUACAUGUUAGCAUUUUAAGUAUAUUAUUCAAUUAAGACCAUUUCAAGAAUCACCAAUACAGAUAAGUCUGAAGAAGAAAAGAAAGCCGAUAAAAUAUUCAUUGAUCCUAUACGAUUAUAGUGUUUUAAGUAUUCUCCACAUACAUUAAUAUCUCAGCAUAUCAUAAGAUGUGCUCUAGAAUUUCGAUAUCAUACCACCACUGUAGGUGCCCAGAGGAUCCAAAAAAUUCCAAUGGAGAAGUGAAGGCAAGUUUGUGCCCAUGCCAACAGCCAUAUCCUUUUAUCUGUGGAUUAUAGAAUUAUCAUCAGUAUGUUGCUCUCGAUGAACUUUUCACUACAUUGAUUGAUAAUUGAAAAAUGCCUAUAGUAGAUUCCACCAACUCCUUUCCAUGUGUAUGUCGAAGAAACUAUCAAACCAUGUCAGUCUGAACAUAGAAAAGGAGUUUAGAAUGCAUGCAUUCAUAGAUCAGGCAUAUUACAGCUUGAGAGUGAAACUGAAAAAACAAACUGAAGGCAUGGCAAACUAUAAUUAAUAGAUUACUAGGAUACCAAGUUAUUAAUCAUCAGAAACUUAGAAAUUGUGAAAAAAAUAUCAAUACUAGCUUGAUAUAUGCAAUCAUGAAUUCAGAGAUAUCUUUUCAUUCUGUCAAUGAAGUCAGAUACAAAGUCCAAAUUUGAUUCAAAUGAACCUCUAAUGUGUAUUUCCACUCUUAUUAAAUUGUCAGUAGAUUCUUAUCGCAGUUUAUCUUGCAACUAGUAAGGCGAGAUAUAUUGACAACUGUGGAUUGUUUGAUUGGAAUGAAAUUUGGAAUGGGUAUGCUUGACGAUAUGAAUUAUGUGAAAAAUAAACGGAUUCGUUCACCAGAAGCCACUCUGAGUUUUGUUUAUUUGGUUACAACAAAUUCAACUUUUGAUCAACCCAUAACUUAUGCAAUCAGAGCUGAGCAAAUUCAAUUUACCGGAAUAAUCUGAGCUGAAUACAUUUAUGCAAUCUACUUACUUGCUACCAUAUCUGUAUCUAUUUAAGCCUGUUUUCUUGUUCUCAUUUUUUUAUCUCAGUCUUCAAUUAGGUAACCAUGUUGUCUUUCCCCCUGAAUAUAUAUAUAUAUAUGCUACUAGUAUAUGACGUCUAGUACCAUAUGAUAACUAGUAUAUUUGCUUUUGCUGUGAAACCCUUAGAUGUUCUUUUAACUAAUAGGAUAAAUUUUUUGGCCAGAGUCACUACAAAUCAUGAACUGCUUUAACUAAAUUAAAUUCAUUACACAUGCCUCUUUUGUCCUUUACUCGAGCAGAUCUUCCCAUUUGCAGUACUGGCCUCCUGCUAAUACUCGAUGAAACCUAUCCCUGCAAUAGACUGGUCUUCCGUCGGCAGCCUCAGCGGCAGCUGCCGCUAGAUCGUCAUCAGAUAUCACGUCUGCAGGCAAUUGAAGCAACUCCUCCUUCCUACAAGGCACAUAAAAAAUUGCAAUUACCUGGUUGAAAUGAUUAGGAAGAUGGUGCAAGGAUCUUUAUGUCUUUCCUUACCUUAGGUUGAACUUUGUGUUAAUUUUUGGAGUUUGAGUGGUAGAUUUAUUUUCUUCUGUGGUAAAGGUGGUUCGAAAAAAGUUCUCCACGGGUGUAGCAAAGAUAAAUAGCAUAACUCCAGUAACAAGUAAUGCUCCUGUACCGACAAGAGUUUGCUUCAGAAGUUUAACGACUGGUUUGACCUGGAGACAUAGAAAUCAAGUUUAUCAUUUGCUCUUCUAGCCUGCAUUAAAAAAAAUCAGCAUGAUGAGUUGAUGCAAUGUUGUGUUAUUUCACAAUGCCCGGUACCUUGUAAGAGCCCAGCAAUCUAUCACGAGCUAGGAUCUGCAAAGAAAGCUAAGUUUUCAGUUUAUAGUGCCUGAAAUGAGAGAAAUGAAGCAUGUCACUUGUUCCUUUAGUAGUUACUGUUAGGAAAUUUUAGCUAUAUUUAUUCCAUAUCCUAUGUACAUCUAUCCUACCGAAUCUCACUAAGUGAGAGCCUCAUACAUUGAGCCGCCCUUAUUCCAUAUCCUACGUAUUCACUAAUUUUGAACAGACUGCUUAUUGCUUAAUGAAGUGGUAUCUUCUACAAUUUGAAAAGCAACAGUGGCUAACCUAUUAUUUGUUCACCUUUACCUCUAAAUUAAAUUUACUCCUUUUCUAUUUGUUUACUUUUAGUGAAUGAAAAAGGUGCAUGUAGAAGAGGCUAACCUCAGGUGGCUUGACCCACAUCUGUCCGUCAUACCAGCCACUUUCUUCAUAAGGAAUGACCGCCGAUAGAAGUCUAUCACCAACAUAACUCCACCCCUGCAUUGGAAUUCACUUAUCUUAACUGCACCAUGUAUUUAAGUGUAAAGGUGCAGACACAGCCACUUUAAUCAUCAGGUAUAUUUGGUUUGAAUAGUGAGCUAUGAAUAGAUUACAUUAAGUUGAAAAUUUAUUAUAUUGCACAUUGGCAACAACAUGCAUGGCUACAAAAGGGAGUUCCAACUGAGUUAAACUUGCAAAUCUUGACCUGCAAAUGCAAUUAUACAGUUUUGAACUUUUGAAUUCAUGAUGUCUUCUACUGGGACAAAUGUGUUUCUAAUUUUGUGUCUUACACAAUACUUUCUGGCCCCCAUAAAUGAAAUGAUUGUAGAACACAGAGAGGAUUACAACCCACCAGAUAAAUCCUCAAGACAAACAAAGAGACAAUGAAGAGUGUUCCUGUUCCAGCAGCUAGUGCAAAUCUUAGAGGCUCCUGCAAGGUAGUUAACAUUAACUCAGGAACAAGGAACUUUGAUGUGCCACUUUAUAAAUGUUUUAAUUCGUGUUUGUGUGCAGCUCGCAGAUACUAGUUAGUAUGCAUGCAUCAAAAUAUCUGGUCGAUUAACUGAUUAGAUGUCCCAUAUUCCCCAUAAUUAUAAAGGGCGGCCUAGUGCACAAGGCUCCCACCUAGUGGGGUUUGGGGAGAGUACAUUCGAACUGCUGCUGAAUCCACGGGCAGGGAAGAGACAACCUGGCGAACACGCAGCUUACCCUGUAAGCAAAGAUACUAUUUUCAGGAUUUGGACCCAUGACCUCGUGGUCACUAAGCAACAACCUUAUUGUUGCACCGAGCUCACCCUCUAGAUUCCCCAUGAUUAUAUGCACAUAUUUUUUUUUACUUCUUUCUUACUCUAGAAGGAUUAAAGCUUGCAGCUGCAAUUGGCACUCCAAGAACUAUGAACACCGACAACCAGAGGCCUCCAAGGCGAAGGAAGAAAGACCCAGGACCCAGUUCACCCCAUGAAUACAAUAUUCCAUCCUUCAGAGAUGAGUACUCAUUCACCUGUUACACAGUGAGAGUGUUGGUGCCAGCAUAAAUAUUUAGAGAAAAAGAAUUCAUACACUAAUAUUAACUACAACAUGCAGUAUCUUUUGAUUUCAAAGGUCAAACAAAGAAAACAAUUAUUGCUAUAACUGCAUAAUUGUUCAUACAUACCGGUCUCUGCUCAAAAGGGACUUCGAUUUCCAACCCAGGAUCCCAGCUACGUCCUGAAGACCCACUUGUUUCUCCAUCCAUUUCAUCUUUUAUGGCCUUGGCCUUGAUGGAAAUCCCAUGAGAAAAUCUUGAAGCUCUUCGUUUAUGGAUGAUCAAUGAAUCAUAGCUGCUGAGUGGUCUAGCUUGAUUUGCACUUGGAAUCAGAGAGCAGUAGACAUUUAAUCUCAGCAUUUAGUUGUUUAGUUUAAGCUACAGAAUUGUGUUUUUGUUUUAAAUCCUAGUUCAAUUCUUUGGUUGGAAAAGGAGAUUGGAGAUAUUAAAGCUCACUGAUAAAUAGCAAUGGAUUUUUUUUUUAUUGCAUGAGGGUAAGAUAGUUUGUUUUGUGACUUAGAGGUCAAUAAAUUUAAAUCAUGUAAAUAGACCUUUCACUUACGAAAAUAAUGUUGUAUAUAUCUACUCUUCCCGAUUUGCGUCACAGAAAACCUAUUAUAUUUAGGUGGAGGAGAACUAUCGGUAAUAACAAUUGUGGAUUUUUCCACGUGGGCUUCUGAGUACCGUUCAUGUGAUGCGGUUACGGUCCUUAGGAAUCAGAUUAUCCGAACCAAAUGUAUUUUCUACUUAGAUAUUUUUGUGGUUUGAGAAAGGCGUGGGGAACUGAUGGUUAAGCAACGUGGCUGUUGUUCACUUGCACGCAAAUUUCUACUAUGUUCCUGUUGCCUGCACGCAGUAGCAACGGGCACGAUCAAUUAGCAAAGCAACAAAAUUCCUAUUUUCAACCUCUUUUUGUGUGGCUGAGGAAUCCACUUUCAAAUAUAGCUAGUUCUGUAAUGAAUCUUAAUCUCUCUGUUAUUGCUUUGCUUCACAAGUCACAAUUGGAUUGAUACAUUGUACAGCCCUAUUAGGCUCGUACUUGCUAACCUGGCAAACUGGUCAGUCAUUUAGGAUAUUCAUAGUCAGAGUCUAAAAGGUUAGAAAAAAUAAAUAAAAUGAAAAGCUGUGGUUUUUCAAUUUUCUAAAAAUUAUUGUAAUACUUUAAAAAACACUGAUCUUAGGUUGAUUUUGGUGUAUAUCAUAUUAAUGUAACAUCAAAAGAAACUAAAUGACCACUUUAGUUCUUAUAUUUGUGCUUACUAACUCGGGUUAGUACCUCCAUCUACCUCCGUUUGAGUUAAUUGACAUGGACAUGUGAUCCGUUAAGUGUGUAAAUGACAUUUCCACGUGAAGAGUGAACAGAAUUAAAAAAAAACGGAUCCUUCUCUUUCCACAAAUACAUCUAUCUGGGAUUGGAGUAUUGUUUUAUGAAGUUGCCGUCAGUUUUAAUUAACAAUAAUCAUUUCAUGACAGAAAAGGGGAAACCAUAAUCAUUUCAUGACCCAGGGUCUGUAAUCACGUUUAUGAUCAGUGUUCUUAAGCUUUUAAUAAAAACUCGGUGCAUUUUGAUUUUGUUGAAUUUAUGAACCUCUUAUUUUCGACAUGAAAUUAAAAUCACGAGGAACUAUCAUGUUUCAGGCAUUAAUAUCCUUGGCUAUGAGGUAGGACAGGGACAUGCUUCUCAUUAUGAUAAAUUCAAUUCUGCUGAAUAUUUGCCCACAAAAAAACCAAAGAGUACGUAUGAAGUAAAACUCUUACAUUCUAAUUUCGCAAGUUGUUUUAGAGAUGGAAUUUGUGGUUAGUUUUGAGGAUAGGGUUCAUACUAGCACCCACACUGACAGCGUGUUGCUUGUCAUUUUGCAAGAAGUUUGAUAUCCAUCUAAGGUUGCUUGACUUGAUAAGGUUUGUGUAUAAGACGUGAGAUUUUUUAUGGAGACAUCCCUCUGUCUUUUUCUUCUUCCUCGUAAUAACAUCAUUGUCCCAUGUUGCAGAGAUUGACAAUCCCUUGCAGUACUGUAGAUGCAUAUGAUGCUUGGAUAAAAAUAUGUUUAAAAUACUAUAUCUGUCAAUAUAUUUAUUUAUUCAACUUGAAUUGCUUACACUAAUGUCAAACUCAUAUUUUACACAUCAGUUUUGGUUAAUCAGCCAGAUGACUUCAUUCAUAGUGUAUUUAAGCAAUGUUCCAGAAGGUAGAGAGACCGUGUUUCUAUUUUGAGGUAAAAACUAAAAACCAAGUUUGUCACUGCAUCUUGAUUCUCAUACUUCCCGUUUUCUGGUAAAGGUAGUCAGUGCAUUAUUAAUAUUCUGCAGAAUGGCUAUGAUUUUGAGUACUGUAUUGGUUUAAGGGUAAAGGCCACCCAGGGGGGUGGACUUCUAUUCAUUUGUUGUUCCCUAAUGGUACAAUUUUUCUAACCUGCCAACGCAACAUUCCUAUCCAAACUCAAAAACUUAGAUGGAUGUCAAAUUUUUAAGUGAAUGCCCCAUCCAAACAAUGCUUCCAAUGUUUUCAUAAAACUCUCUUUGGUCAUAGCUAAUUAGCAACUUAACAUUUUACCGUCAGUCACGUGUUACAGUAUACUAGGAAACAAGGUUAGGAAUACCCUAUAAACCCAACUCGUAACACAUCACUAAGCCUAAUAAUCUAAGAUGACUAAAAUGGUCAGAUUUUAUUUUUCACCUUCUGAUAUUUAGGUGCACUUUUGGAGAAAUUGACGCUUGUCACCAAAUAAGAUUGUGGUAGCAGCUUUGGAAGUUUGUGCGGCUGGUUGUACCUCCAUAAGCACCCAAGCAG